rnacentral:rRNA from 1 species
GAUGAACGCUGGCGGCGUGCCUAAUACAUGCAAGUCGAGCGAACGGACGAGAAGCUUGCUUCUCUGAUGUUAGCGGCGGACGGGUGAGUAACACGUGGAUAACCGACCUAUAAGACUGGGAUAACUUCGUGAAACCGGAGCUAAUACCGGAUAAUAUUUUGAACCGCAUGGUUCAAAAGUGAAAGACGGUCUUGCUGUCACUUAUAGAUGGAUCCGCGCUGCAUUAGCUAGUUGGUAAGGUAACGGCUUACCAAGGCAACGAUGCAUAGCCGACCUGAGAGGGUGAUCGGCCACACUGGAACUGAGACACGGUCCAGACUCCUACGGGAGGCAGCAGUAGGGAAUCUUCCGCAAUGGGCGAAAGCCUGACGGAGCAACGCCGCGUGAGUGAUGAAGGUCUUCGGAUCGUAAAACUCUGUUAUUAGGGAAGAACAUAUGUGUAAGUAACUGUGCACAUCUUGACGGUACCUAAUCAGAAAGCCACGGCUAACUACGUG